CUCAGGACGAACGCUGGCGGCGUGCUUAACACAUGCAAGUCGAACGGAAAGGCCCUGCUUUUGUGGGGUGCUCGAGUGGCGAACGGGUGAGUAACACGUGAGUAACCUGCCCUUGACUUUGGGAUAACUUCAGGAAACUGGGGCUAAUACCGGAUAGGGGCUCCUGCUGCAUGGUGGGGGUUGGAAAGUUUCGGCGGUUGGGGAUGGACUCGCGGCUUAUCAGCUUGUUGGUGGGGUAGUGGCUUACCAAGGCUUUGACGGGUAGCCGGCCUGAGAGGGUGACCGGCCACAUUGGGACUGAGAUACGGCCCAGACUCCUACGGGAGGCAGCAGUGGGGAAUAUUGCACAAUGGGCGGAAGCCUGAUGCAGCAACGCCGCGUGCGGGAUGACGGCCUUCGGGUUGUAAACCGCUUUCGCCUGUGACGAAGCGUGAGUGACGGUAAUGGGUAAAGAAGCACCGGCUAACUACGUGCCAGCAGCCGCGGUGAUACGUAGGGUGCGAGCGUUGUCCGGAUUUAUUGGGCGUAAAGGGCUCGUAGGUGGUUGAUCGCGUCGGAAGUGUAAUCUUGGGGCUUAACCCUGAGCGUGCUUUCGAUACGGGUUGACUUGAGGAAGGUAGGGGAGAAUGGAAUUCCUGGUGGAGCGGUGGAAUGCGCAGAUAUCAGGAGGAACACCAGUGGCGAAGGCGGUUCUCUGGGCCUUUCCUGACGCUGAGGAGCGAAAGCGUGGGGAGCGAACAGGCUUAGAUACCCUGGUAGUCCACGCUGUAAACGGUGGGUACUAGGUGUGGGGUCCAUUCCACGGGUUCCGUGCCGUAGCUAACGCUUUAAGUACCCCGCCUGGGGAGUACGGCCGCAAGGCUAAAACUCAAAGGAAUUGACGGGGCCCCGCACAAGCGGCGGAGCAUGCGGAUUAAUUCGAUGCAACGCGUAGAACCUUACCUGGGUUUGACAUGGAUCGGGAGUGCUCAGAGAUGGGUGUGCCUCUUUUGGGGUCGGUUCACAGGUGGUGCAUGGCUGUCGUCAGCUCGUGUCGUGAGAUGUUGGGUUAAGUCCCGCAACGAGCGCAACCCUUGUUCACUGUUGCCAGCACGUUAUGGUGGGGACUCAGUGGAGACCGCCGGGGUCAACUCGGAGGAAGGUGGGGAUGACGUCAAGUCAUCAUGCCCCUUAUGUCCAGGGCUUCACGCAUGCUACAAUGGCUGGUACAGAGAGUGGCGAGCCUGUGAGGGUGAGCGAAUCUCGGAAAGCCGGUCUCAGUUCGGAUUGGGGUCUGCAACUCGACCUCAUGAAGUCGGAGUCGCUAGUAAUCGCAGAUCAGCAACGCUGCGGUGAAUACGUUCCCGGGGCUUGUACACACCGCCCGUCAAGUCAUGAAAGUUGGUAACACCCGAAGCCGGUGGCCUAACCGUUGUGGGGGAGCCGUCGAAGGUGGGACUGGUGA
rnacentral:rRNA from 1 species